AUCAAGGAAACAAAUGACAAUCCUAAGCGAUACUAUGUGGCUGAAAAGUAUGUGUUCGAUUCCAUCCCUCUUCUCAUCAACUAUCACCAACAUAAUGGAGGAGGCCUGGUGACUCGACUCCGGUAUCCAGUUUGUUUUGGGAGGCAGAAAGCCCCAGUUACAGCAGGGCUGAGAUACGGGAAAUGGGUGAUCGACCCCUCAGAGCUCACUUUUGUGCAAGAGAUUGGCAGUGGGCAAUUUGGGUUGGUGCAUCUGGGCUACUGGCUCAACAAGGACAAGGUGGCUAUCAAAACCAUUCGGGAAGGGGCUAUGUCAGAAGAGGACUUCAUAGAGGAGGCUGAAGUAAUGAUGUGAGUGCUCAGAACAAGGAUAUGCAGAAACUCUGGGGGGAACAUCGGUUCAGUGUUCUUGAAAUGCCAUUCAAACGCCAGGGGGUACUAUCUCCCUGCGCAAACUCCCAGCAGUGGCUUCCUAUUGCACAGAGAAUACAAUCAAACUCUUCACAGUGGUCUCCAAGGCCCACCAUAAUCUGAUCAUGCCCACCUCCCCCUUCUCAGCUCCUACCCAUCUCUCCUCCAGUCCAUGACAUGCCAGCCACACUGGCCUCUGCUCAUCUUCACACACACAGCUGACUCCUUGCCAUUUUUCAGGUCUCAGCUCCAAUGACAUGUUUUUGUUUUGGGGAGGGAAUGAAUAUUAUUUUCAUCCAAACCAUAAAUUAGACAAAAUGACCAUUGGCUAUUUUGGUACCAUAAUAUUUUCGGCAUUUUUGGGAGACUGAGUUUAGGCCAUCUCACCCCUUGUCUUUUUCCUCCAGGAAACUCUCUCAUC
rnacentral:lncRNA from 10 species